rnacentral:rRNA from 1 species
GACGAACGCUGGCGGCGUGCUUAACACAUGCAAGUCGAACGGAAAGGCCCUGCUGUUGUGUGCUCCUGUGGUGACCGACGGGUUAGUAAGACGUUAGUAACCUCCCCUUUAUUUUGGGAUAACUUCAGACAACGGGUACUACUACCUGAUAGCAGCUCCUGCUGCGUGGUGGGUGUUGAAAUUUUUCGGCGGUUGGGGAUGGACUCGCGGCUUAUCAGCUUGUUGGUGGGGUAGUGGCUUACCAAGGCUUUGACGGGUAGCCGGCCUGAGAGGGUGACCGGCCACAUUGGGACUGAGAUACGGCCCAGACUCCUACGGGAGGCAGCAGUGGGGAAUAUUGCACAAUGGGCGGAAGCCUGAUGCAGCAACGCCGCGUGCGGGAUGACGGCCUUCGGGUUGUAAACCGCUUUCGCCUGUGACGAAGCGUGAGUGACGGUAAUGGGUAAAGAAGCACCGGCUAACUACGUG